CCUACGUGUGGCAGCAGUGAGGAAUAUUGGUCAAUGGGCGAGAGCCUGAACCAGCCAAGUCGCGUGAAGGAGGAAGGAUUUAUGGUUUGUAAACUUCUUUUAUAUGGGAAUAAAGUGAGUAACGUGUUUAUUUUUGCAUGUACGAUAUGAAUAAGCAUCGGCUAACUUCGUGCCAGCAGCCGCGGUAAUACGGAGGAUGCGAGAGUUAUCCGGAUUUAUUGGGUUUAAAGGGAGCGUAGGUGGUUAAUUAAGUCAGCGGUGAAAGUUUGUGGCUCAACCAUAAAGUUGACGUUGAAACUGGUUGACUUGAGUAUAUUUGAGGUAGGCGGAAUGCGUGGUGUAGCGGUGAAAUGCAUAGAUAUCACGCAGAACUCCGAUUGCGAAGGCAGCUUACUAAACUAUAACUGACACUGAAGCACGAAAGCGUGGGGAUCAAACAGGAUUAGAUACCCGAGUAGUC
rnacentral:rRNA from 1 species